CAGCAAUUAUAACACCUUUCCGUGUCAUGUAAUUAACCGCGUUCUUUUGAUUCUGAGUAAAAAGAUUAACAAAAUAUCUCUUUUUGGAUUUUUUUCUUUUAUUUAAAAAUCAAAAGCAAAAAAUAAUCAUUCAAGCUUUUUAAUACACUAAGAAUUAGUAUAAACAAUGUUUGGAAUGGAGGACGGAUCUGUCCGGAUUUUAUCCAACCCGGAGUACAUGUCAAUGGCGUCCAGUAAAACGAAAGUAGAAACAAACGAGUGUUGUCACAUAAACAAGGGGUAGGACGUGAAGUGGUUGCACACUUGGUUCAAGCGAGCGAAAUGGUCGCAAACUUACAAAAUGGCGGAUAUUUACUGACAUCUUUGCGUGUUCACUUGCUUUUUUAUCAGAGAUCAUGAGUUUGAUAAAAGGAAAGGAAGUCUACAUAAAUUCGGAACGUUACAAAAAUUAAAUGAUGUGCCCAGAGGAGUUCAGCCAGUUAGGUCUCAUUAUAAAGUGGACGAGUCUAGAAUUUUACCAUCACUUAGACUUUGUAUUUCGAAUAUGUUGUGUGAACUCACAAAGUAAACUGUAUACAGUUACUAAUGUCUAUAAACAAUUACUGGCAAUUCUAAUAUAACUAACAAUGUUUUAAUCACCACAACGAUAUUAUGUUGACGUAUGUUGACGUCACGUCAUAGUGAUAUUUAGCGCAAUAUACGCAUCAAGAAAUAGCGCUUUCAAAUUUUAUGAAAUAUUUUACUUAACAUUAUGCUAAGAAAUGUCCACAAUGUUUCACAUAUUUAGUUAGCUAUUCGCUUUGCUGAAUAAUUCGCAAUAAUUUUUGCCCGAACUGAACGCUGCCGCAAGACGUAUUACCGUUUCCGGUCUUGGCGUGUAUGAACAAAGACCUACUGUUGGCGCCAUGCUUACGCAAAGGAACAGUGCCAUCAUACAUGUAUUUGAUAUAAAUUUUACAAUAUAGAACAUAUAAGAAUCGAAAUAAUUUAUAGGAAAACGGUGCUUUAUCACUUUUUUAUACACUCGAGUGACUGUGCCCUCGUGAAAUUAAUACGCCCACGGUAUAACCGCCCAUUGUAUAUAAUAGUGAUAAGGCACUGUUUUGCUACAAAUUAUUUCUUAAAUGUUCGGCUGAGAUCAAAGCAAUGUUCCCUUGAAAUGAACAACCAGAUGAUAUCUUCUGUUAACUGCUACCACAGGUUUAAAUGCCAGUUCUACUGUGUUCAAGCCCGCCCGCUUAGCUCAGUAGGAAGAGCGUUGGUCUACAGAUCGCGGGGUCGCGGGUUCGAUCCCUGGGCGGGACGUAUGUUCUCCGUGACGAUUUGAUAGAAGACAUUGUAUCUGA
rnacentral:lncRNA from 1 species